rnacentral:rRNA from 1 species
CCCUUAGAUGUUCUGGGCCGCACGCGUGCUACACUGAGUGGAUCAGCGGGUCAGGUUGCGCGAAAGCGUUUCCUAAUCUUUAAAUCCGCUCGUGAUGGGGAUUGACGGUUGCAAUUUUCUGUCAUGAACGAGGAAUUCCUCGUAAGCGCGAGUCACCAACUCGUGUUGAAUACGUCUCUGCCCUUUGUACACACCGCCCGUCGCUACUACUGAUUGAACUGGUUUUUGAAGUGUAGAGAUUGGCAGGCAUGUUUACGUGCAUUGCAAAGAACCACUCUGAAAAAAUCGUUCGAGAAGAAGUAAAAGUCGUAACA